UACGUAGGGUGCAAGCGUUGUCCGGAAUUAUUGGGCGUAAAGAGCUCGUAGGCGGUUCGUCGCGUCGGCUGUGAAAACCCGGAGCUCAACUCCGGGCCUGCAGUCGAUACGGGCGGACUUGAGUUCGGCAGGGGAGACUGGAAUUCCUGGUGUAGCGGUGAAAUGCGCAGAUAUCAGGAGGAACACCGGUGGCGAAGGCGGGUCUCUGGGCAGAAACUGACGCUGAGGAGCGAAAGCGUGGGGAGCGAACAGG
rnacentral:rRNA from 1 species